rnacentral:rRNA from 1 species
GCAGUAGCCGCGGUAAUACGAAGGGGGCUAGCGUUGUUCGGAUUUACUGGGCGUAAAGCGCACGUAGGCGGACUUUUAAGUCAGGGGUGAAAUCCCGGGGCUCAACCCCGGAACUGCCUUUGAUACUGGAAGUCUUGAGUAUGGUAGAGGUGAGUGGAAUUCCGAGUGUAGAGGUGAAAUUCGUAGAUAUUCGGAGGAACACCAGUGGCGAAGGCGGCUCACUGGACCAUUACUGACGCUGAGGUGCGAAAGCGUGGGGAGCAAACAGGAUUAGAUACCCGAGUAGUCCCUGUCUCUUAUAU